rnacentral:rRNA from 1 species
GGAUUUAUUGGGCGUAAAGCGAGCGCAGGCGGUYACUUAAGUCUGAUGUGAAAACUUCGGCUUAACCGAAGAAGUGCAUCGGAAACUGGGUGACUUGAGUGCAGAAGAGGACAGUGGAACUCCAUGUGUAGCGGUGGAAUGCGCUAGAUAUAUGGAAGAACACCAGUGGCGAAGGCGGCUGUCUGGUCUGCAACUGACGCUGAGGCUCGAAAGCAUGGGUAGCGAACAGGAUUAGAUACCCUGGUAGUCCAUGCCGUAAACGAUGAGUGCUAAGUGUUGGGAGGUUUCCGCCUCUCAGUGCUGCASUAACGCAUUAAGCACUCCGCCUGGGGAGUACGACCGCAAGGUUGAAACUCAAAGGAAUUGACGGGGGCCCGCACAAGCGGUGGAGCAUGUGGUUUAAUUCGAAGCAACGCGAAGAACCUUACCAGGUCUUGACAUCUAGUGCAAUCUGAGAGAUACGGAGUUCUUCGGGGACGCUAAG